rnacentral:tRNA from 1 species
GGGUGUGUAGCUUUAUGGUCUUAGCUUUGCAAAAGCUAAUGGGAGACUUUGUUCUCCACGCCUU